rnacentral:rRNA from 1 species
UACGAAGGGGGCUAGCGUUGCUCGGAUUGACUGGGCGUAAAGGGCGCGUAGGCGGUUCGCACAGUCAGACGUGAAAUUCCUGGGCUCAACCUGGGGGCUGCGUUUGAUACGUGCGGACUUGAGUGCGGAAGAGGGUCGUGGAAUUCCCAGUGUAGAGGUGAAAUUCGUAGAGAUCGGGAGGAACACCAGAGGCGAAGGCGGCGACCUGGACAGGUACUGACACUCAACUACGAAAGCGUGGGGAGCAAACAGG